CUCGAUCCUGGCAAGGCGGGGCUCGGUGUGGCUUCCUCGAAGCUGGCACUCCCGGUGUGGGCACCGCCUUCGGGUCCUUUCCUCCCAGUCACCGAUUCUCAGGCCCGGCUGUCUCUGCUCAUUCUUUAUCUCCCGGGACAAUUCGACACUGGAACGGAUUCGGGGACAGGUUUAAAGAGGGAAAAGAAAUUCUUACAGAUUGAGGUUAUUGCAGUUGUCAUUUAGGGGCAGGUGUGGAAUGAGAACAAACUACUAAAUAUGUGGGAUAACAGCAAAAAAUAAGACGGCACAAUAAAAUUUGUGGUUCUCAGUUUUGUCGAGGAAUUCUGGAUGUAGGACUUCCAGCUAUUACUUCAGCACCACAUCUGCCUGCACAAAGGUUGUGUUCUCCACCCUGAUAAUGGACUGACCCUCUGAAACUAUUGGUGAAUACCCCAAUUAUCAUCAGAGAACCUUCAUCCAGUAGCUGAUGGAACCAGAUGCAGAGAUCCACAACCAAGAACCAGGCUGAGCUCUGGGAAUCCAGUCGAAGAGAGGUAAGAGAAUAUAUUAGCAAGGGAGAUCAAGACCAUGAUGGAGAAAUCUACAGAGACAGCUGAACCAAGCUUGUAGAACUCAUGAACUCUAGACCUACAACUGUGGAGCCUCCAUGGGACCGAACAUGUGGGAGACAGUUAUGUAGCUGUGUCUAUCUGAGGGGGCCCUGGCAGUGGGACCAGGGUUUAUCCCUGUGCAUGAGCUAGCGUUUUGGAGCCCAUUCCCUUUUGGUGGAUACUAUGCUCAGACUUAAUGCAGCAGGGAGGGACUUGGUCCUGCCCCAGCGUAAUGCGCCAAG
rnacentral:lncRNA from 1 species